GACGAACCGUGCGAACGUUGUUCGGAAUCACUGGGCUUAAAGGGCGCGUAGGCGGGCAAGCAAGUCAGGGGUGAAAUCCCACGGCUCAACCGUGGAAGGGCCUUUGAUACUGCGUGUCUGGAGGGAGGUAGGGGCGUGCGGAACUUCCGGUGGAGCGGUGAAAUGCGUAGAUAUCGGAAGGAACACCGGUGGCGAAAGCGGCGCACUGGACCACAACUGACGCUGAGGCGCGAAAGCUAGGGGAGCAAACAGG
rnacentral:rRNA from 1 species